rnacentral:tRNA from 1 species
GGGCACGUAGCUCAGCGGUAGAGCAGUCGUCUUAUACACGACCGGUCGCAGGUUCGAUCCCUGCCGUGCCCA